UGGGGAAUUUUGGACAAUGGGCGAAAGCCUGAUCCAGCAAUGCCGCGUGUGUGAAGAAGGCCUUCGGGUUGUAAAGCACUUUUGUCCGGAAAGAAAUCCUUGGCUCUAAUACAGUCGGGGGAUGACGGUACCGGAAGAAUAAGCACCGGCUAACUACGUGCCAGCAGCCGCGGUAAUACGUAGGGUGCAAGCGUUAAUCGGAAUUACUGGGCGUAAAGCGUGCGCAGGCGGUUUGCUAAGACCGAUAUGAAAUCCCCGGGCUCAACCUGGGAACUGCAUUGGUGACUGGCAGGCUAGAGUAUGGCAGAGGGGGGUAGAAUUCCACGUGUAGCAGUGAAAUGCGUAGAGAUGUGGAGGAAUACCGAUGGCGAAGGCAGCCCCCUGGGCCAAUACUGACGCUCAUGCACGAAAGCGUGGGGAGCAAACAGGAUUAGAUACCCUGGUAGUCCACGCCCUAAAACGAUGUCAACUAGUUGUUGGGGAUUCAUUUCCUUAGUAACGUAGCUAACGCGUGAAGUUGACCGCCUGGGGAGUACGGUCGCAAGAUUAAAACUCAAAGGAAUUGACGGGGUCAUAGCUGUUUCCU
rnacentral:rRNA from 1 species